ACAUCCGAAUAAGAUUAUAUGAGUGAAAUGUGACAUAUAU
rnacentral:guide_RNA from 1 species